GCGGCAGUGGCGGAAUUGGCAGACGCGCAAGAUUCAGGUUCUUGUGGGCGGAAAGCCCGUGGGGGUUCAAGUCCCUUCUGCCGCACCA
rnacentral:tRNA from 1 species